AUACCUUUCUCGGACUUUUGGCUAAGAUCAAGUGUAGUAUCUGUUCUUAUCAGUUUAAUAUCUGAUACGUGGGCCAUAGGUCCACACGAUAUUAAAUUACUUUUUUAAAGGGGAAGGUUCACCGCAGUGGCUUGCUACUGGAACCUUCAAGCGUCGCCAAUGUGUUACACUACUGCAAUGGUCUGGCGUGCCCUCC
rnacentral:snRNA from 1 species